GACGAACCGUGCGAACGUUGUUCGGAAUCACUGGGCUUAAAGGGCGCGUAGGCGGGCUGCCAAGUCUGGGGUGAAAUCCCACGGCUCAACCGUGGAACUGCCUCGGAUACUGGCGGUCUCGAGGGAGGUAGGGGCAUGCGGAACUGUGGGUGGAGCGGUGAAAUGCGUUGAUAUCCACAGGAACACCGGUGGCGAAGGCGGCCCCCUGGACCGGUACUGACGCUGAGGCGCGAAAGCGUGGGUAGCAAACGGG
rnacentral:rRNA from 1 species